ensembl:lncRNA
AAGGAGGAAGGUGCCGGUGGGAGGGGAAUGUUCAGAGUGGAGGUCAGGAGGAAGAGGGAAGGACGUCACCUGAACGACUCUUGAUGCUUGGCAUCUUUCAGGCGUUGCCUGUUGGACGUCUGGCAGGAGUCGGCGAGAGGCAGGACUCGACAAGCUCUAUGGGCUCCUGGCUCCCUCCACAGGGACCCCAGCUCAGAGGAAGCCACCCUCCACCUCCAUCCCCGGAGGAACGUGACAAACACCAGCAGCAUCCGGAAAGACCACGAGGAGGAGGGAAGGGGGCUUUGGUCCCACCUCUCUCGAACUCCACCUCCUCUUGGCUCUGGAAGAUGUUCUCCUGGGUGCGCCACCAAAGCCUGGAAGUUCUUCUGGGACCCAAAUGCUGAUUGUCUGCACUGAGGAAUGAGUCUCCCUCAACAACAAGUACAUUCCAGAAAUAUCCAUCUAGCAUCUCUAAUGGGCAAGACAUUCAGGGGAGCCAACGAUGAACCAGGCCUGGGUCCGUCCCCAGGGCACCCCCACUAGUGAGGACCCGACUGCCCAGUGGAGCCCCUACUAUGUUUCAAGUAUGAUAUAAAUAUCCCAAAGUGAGGAUCUCACGGGAGAAGAGACCCAGGCUCAGACGUGUAGAAGAGACUCUUCACUGAGCAAACAUUUAUAAAGCACCCGCCAUGGGCGUUUUGGUACAUCGGAUACCGGGGCUUUGGACCAACCCCAUCCUUGCCUACACAGAGUGGUGGCAGGAUACCAUCGACGCUCCAGCCCUGACCGUCUGCAUCCAAAGUACGAACCCUGGGAACUUCGCUUGUAGAGGGACACUGAAGGCGGCACCAGAAGCAAAGUGCUGCUAUCUGACGCCCGAGGGUUCCUGCGCAGUGGUCCCCGACACCCUUGUUUCCUUGCUGACUUACUCCAACAAGCACUCGUCUGUCGAGCGGGCCGGUACUGAGCGCCCACUGUAUACCAGGCAGCUGGCGAGUGCUGCGGGACCAGGCAGAGGAGCCCCUGCUCAGGCGGGGCCUCAAGUCCCCAGUCCAUUCGCUGGUUCCGUAGGAUACUGCGGGCAGCCGCCCCGGCCACCCAUCCUGUGACUCUGCCAGAGCGCGCUCCGCUUUCCCACGAGGGAGGCUCUGCACGCCUCCUCCAGGCAGCCCUAGCUCUCGGCCUGCUUGGCCAGCCCCUGACCUGGCUCAACUUCACCCAGGACCCCGUCCUCCCCUGGGCUUUGGCAGCAACAGUAGCCAGACCAGUUGCCCGGGGUGGGGGUGGCAUUCCUGGUGGCACCACACCCGCAGCUGCUUUCACUUGCCCCCCGGGAGGGCCCCACGGCUUCCCCAAGCCCCGCGGGAAUUACUCAUCCAUCCCAGGAGCGUCCUUUUAUUCCACUGACACAGGAGCCCCCACCGCCAGCCCGGCCCGCACUCAGGGUCGGCUGCGUCCGGGACUUCGGCUUUGUUUCUUUGCUGAUGUCCUCUGGUCCCCACACGACCUCUCAGAGUGCCUCUGUGGGUCACCCUCACUACUGGUUUCUGUAUCAUUAACACUUGGGACCAGGGACCCACAACACAUUUGUUGACCAAGUGAAUGAAGACAUUUGGGAUGAGGAUCCUUUGACGAAUAAACAUUUGGGAUGAGGGGCCUUUGACGAAUAA